CAUCGAAGCUAGAAAAAUAAUAAUUACACCACUGAAUUCAGUACAUUGAAUUGUUUUGUUAGACAUGAAUACUUUUUAUGAUGAAAAUAUAUUUAGAAAGUUAUACUAUGAAACAUGCUGAACUUUCAAUGAUUUUCUCGAUAACACCUGAUUAACAGACUUUAGCCAACCCGAUUAACAGACCAACCGCCGAUAUAGCCGCAUACUCAAUAUAGAUUAACCGACCAAUCUCUCGGUUAGCCGAGUGUCGGCCGUGUAGUAGUCUGAUGCACUAUAACCACUACACCACGGCUCUCCUUGACCAUUUAUGCAUGCUUUGGCAACAUUUAUAGGUUGCAAGUGAGAAACUAUACUGACACAGAG
rnacentral:lncRNA from 1 species